GUGAGUGGACUGCAUGAGUCUGAAAUACUGUUUAGAUAAAAUCAGUUCACCCCUGUCUAUGGGAGGGUAGCUACUCUGUCUCGGCUGUGUUUCAGUUCUAGCACUAAAGCGGUUGGAGAAGUGCGACCCUGCAGCCCUGCCACGAAAAGCCAUCAGAGAAGCUAAGUCAAAAGUCAAAACUCACUGAUUGUAAGUGUUUCUUAGGGAGAGUUAAACCAAAAUUAAGCUUACGUCAGAGACUGGAGAAAAAUCCAAAGAGAGAUGGAGAGAGGAAAGAGAUAUAUACUUUGUCUGGAAUAGAUAGGCCGCAGUUGCGAGCCUGCUAAAAAUCACCAGGUUUACUAGAGAGAUUUAGCCUGUGUGUCUUGCCUAAAGGCCCACUAGAUAGACCGCACUCACGGUUAGCCGUGUGUUAAAGUUAAACUUGUUAUAUCAGAGGGAUGAGAAAAAUCAGGUUUUAAACAAAAUAACAAGUACUACCCAAAUUCACAAAAGUGCAAAAAAGAAAAUAAACUUAAAUAAAGAGAAAUGCACAAACAAUAAAUUAAAAAAAAAAAAAAAAAAAAAACCAAACCAGAUGUAUUCAAGGAUGAGCCUAGCAUAGGCCCAUUCUCAUUUGCACAAUGUUCUUAUGUUUGUUUCAGUUUUUAGAAGAGACACCGUGCAACUAAUAGCCUUCACAGGUGUCACUCAUCAAGGCAGUCUUUAAAACAGAAGCGAACAAUCCCGGAAAGAUGGCCGCCACCAUGCGGCAUGGAAAAGUUUGGAGAAGAUGUUAAUCCAUUUGUUUUCUCACCAAGUGGACCGGUAGGACCUGUAGGGAAAAGUCUUCAAAGCAGUCCAAAGGACUUGACAAAAAAAGGGGGUUAAAAGAUGCGUGACUACCCGAGCGCUUUCGACUUGUCAGUCUUCAUCAGGGGUUUUGCGGCAAUGAUCCUCUGAAGGCCUCUAUAUAGAGGUGAGCCUGGCAGAGUGGGUGUAGACCUGCAGAACCCCAAGAGGUCAGCUGGUCCACCUCGCUUCUUGUCAUUGGCCGUAGGGAAGCAGAACUAUCAUUGGGACACAUAGGAACCACUAAGCACGGGCACAGGAUGAAGUUCUCAUAGGAUCACUUAUCCUUCACUCCUCCAGUGUUUUCAGCACAUCAGACCAGGAUAAACACCUUGCCGAUGCCCGCGGAGACCAAAAAGAGGUUCAAUGACCGUGGAGCAUCCAGCACCAUCAAGAGGUCAACCGCUCUAACUCAAAAGAGAGGAGAGAGACCCCUACGAGGACAACCUGCCACUAAGCAGCCGGCCACUCUGACCACCAAGAGACCUGCUCAAUGUUUACAUCUAUCAGUGAGGAGGAUGACUAUCUCCUCACUAUGUAAAAAACCCAGGGUCUGGAGACCGCCGGACAGGACUGCUGACCCCCGCUUCAGCUCGCUGGAACAUGCUGCAGAGUCCCACUGUCAGUGAGCAACGCCCCAAGCUAAGUGCUAUUUGUUGGGGAGGGAAGGGAAUUAAAGUGCUUCAAUCACCAAAAGAGGUGCACACGCAAAUCACAAUACAAGAGGUCACAUGGUGACCACAAGAAGACAUACAUAUCUUAUUUAACAUAUAUAAUUUAUUAAAUAUAAUUUAUUAAAUAAGUGUCUAG
ensembl:lncRNA